GUGUCAGCGCCGCGGUAAUACGGAGGAUGCGAGCGUUAUCCGGAUUUAUUGGGUUUAAAGGGUGCGUAGGCGGUUUAUUAAGUCAGCGGUGAAAGUUUGAGGCUCAACCUUAAAAUUGCCGUUGAAACUGGUUAACUUGAGUGUAGAUGAAGUAGGCGGAAUUAGUGGUGUAGCGGUGAAAUGCAUAGAUAUCACUAGGAACUCCGAUUGCGAAGGCAGCUUACUAAGGUACAACUGACGCUGAUGCACGAAAGCGUGGGUAUCAAACAGGAUUAGAUACCCUGGUAGUCCACGCAGUAAACGAUGAUUACUAGUUGUUUGCGAUAUGACCGUAAGUAACUAAGCGAAAGCGAUAAGUAAUCCACCUGGGGAGUACGCCGGCAACGGUGAAACUCAAAGGAAUUGACGGGGGCCCGCACAAGCGGAGGAACAUGUGGUUUAAUUCGAUGAUACGCGAGGAACCUUACCCGGGCUUGAAAUGCAGAAGACGAUCCAUGAAAGUAGAUUUCCAGCAAUGGUUUCUGUGUAGGUGCUGCAUGGUUGUCGCCAGCU
rnacentral:rRNA from 1 species